rnacentral:rRNA from 1 species
UUUUAUUAAAAUACAAAAGAAGAUUUAAUUUUUAAAUUUAGAAAAAAUAAUUAAAAGGUAAGUUAAAACAAAAUAAUAUUUUACUGAAAAGGAAUAAUUUUAAUAAGAAAAAAGUAAAUUUUUGUACCUUUUGUAUUAGGGAAUUUUUAAAAAAAUUAAAAUUUUAUUUUUCUCGAAAUAAUUUGAUCAAUUUAGUUUAAUAAUUUUUAUUGUUUCAACAAUAAACGCAAAUUCUAAAUAGAAGUGAAAUUCUUGUCAAAAUUUAAGUUAACUAGUUUUGAAAUUGGGUAACAAACCUUUCUGUUAUAAUAUUUUAUUUUUUAAAAUAACAGAUGAUUUUUUUAGGGAUAAGCUUAAAAAAUUUUUUUAAAAUUUUAAAAAAAUCUGUUGAAUAAGGAAUAAAAUUUUCCUUUAAAUUAUUAUAAGUACUUUUAAAAAAAUAAAAUCAAUUUAUUUAAAUAUUUUAAAACAAAAAAUUAAUUUUUCUUUUUUCUAAACAUAAAAUUAUUAGUAUAAUAACAUAUUUUUUAUUUUUUUUAAAAAAAUUUAAAAAUAAAUUUAAUAAAAUAAGUUUAACGAACUCGGCAAAAAAUUUUCCUGACUGUUUAAUAAAAACAUUUCAUUUAGAUAAAAAAUAAAUAAAUGAAAAUCCUGCUCAAUGAAUUUAAAUUUAAAUUGCUGUAGUAUUUUGACUAUACAAAGGUAUUGAAAUAAGACUUUAAUUGAGUGCUAAGAGAAUGGAAUUACAGGAAAAAUCUUUUUUAAACUUAACAAUUAAAGUUAUUUUUACUUGUGAAGAAACAGUAAUAAAAAUUAAGGACAAGAAGACCCUAUGAAUUUUUAGAAACAUAUUUCAAUAAAGAAGAUAUGUUUCUUUAAUUGGGGCGAUUAAUUAAUAUUAAAAACUUUUUUGAAAAAACAUGAACCGUUUAAUAACGGUAAUUUGGUAAAAAUACUCUAGGGAUAACAGCGUAAUAAUUUUCGAUAGUUCAUAUUGACAAAAUAGUUUGCGACCUCGAUGUUGGAUUAGGAUAUUUUUUUGAUGAAGAAGUUAAAAAAAAAAGUUUGUUCAACUUUUAAUUUCCUACAUGAUCUGAGUUUAAACCGAUGAGAAUCAGGUUGGUUUCUAUCUUAAUAAAAUUAAAAUUGAAAAUUAGUACGAAAGGAAUUUUUUCAAAAAAAAAUUUUUUUAAGAGUUAACAGUUUUUGCAUCAAUUUUUGGAAUUUAA